UGGGGAAUUUUGCACAAUGGGGGAAACCCUGAUGCAGCGACGCCGCGUGAUUUAGAAGGCCUUCGGGUUGUAAAAAUCUUUUUUACGGGAUGAAAAUGACAGUACCGUAAGAAUAAGGUCCGGCUAAAUACGUGCCAGCAGCCGCGGUAAUACGUAUGGACCGAGCGUUGUCCGGAAUCAUUGGGCGUAAAGGGUACGUAGGCGGCCUAGUAAGUUAGAAGUGAAAUAAUAUAGCUCAACUAUAUAAAGCUUUUAAAACUGCUAGGCUUGAGAGAUGGAAGGGAAAGUGGAAUUCCUAGUGUAGCGGUGAAAUGCGCAGAUAUUAGGAAGAAUACCGGUGGCGAUGGCGACUUUCUGGUCAUCAUCUGACGCUGAGGUACGAAAGCGUGGGUAGCAAACAGG
rnacentral:rRNA from 1 species